GAGGAAUAUUGGGCAAUGCCCGCAAGGGUGACCCAGCAACGCCGCGUGGAGGAUGAAUGUCGUAAGAUUGUAAACUCCUGUUAGAGGGGAAGAAUAGUACCGGUUGGACCGGUAUAUGACUGUACCCUCAGAGAAAGCCCCGGCUAACUACGUGCCAGCAGCCGCGGUAAUACGUAGGGGGCAAGCGUUGUCCGGAUUUACUGGGUGUAAAGGGCGCGCAGGCGGGAUAAAAAGUCAGUGGUGAAAUCCUACAGCUUAACUGUAGAACUGCCUUUGAUACUUUUAUUCUUGAGUUCGGGAGAGAGAGACGGAAUUCCAGGUGUAGUGGUGAAAUACGUAGAUAUCAGGAAGAACACCAGUUGCGAAGGCGGUCUCUUGGUCCGACACUGACGCUGAGGCGCGAAAGCGUGGGGAGCAAACA
rnacentral:rRNA from 1 species